UUCGAAGCAACGCGAAGAACCUUACCUGGUCUUGACAUCCCGGAGACCCUUAGGAAACUAGGGGUGCUUCCAUCUGGAAGAAUCUGGAGACAGGUGCUGCAUGGCUGUCGCCAGCUCGUGUCGUGAGAUGUUGGGUUAAGUCCCGCAACGAGCGCAACCCUUGCCUUUAGUUGCCAGCAGUUCGGCUGGGCACUCUAAAGGGACUGCCGGUGUUAAACCGGAGGAAGUGGGGAUGACGUCAAGUCCUCAUGGCCUUUAUGACCAGGGCUACACACGUACUACAAUGGCCGAUACAAAGGGCAGCGACACUGCGAGGUGAAGCCAAUCCCGUAAAAUCGGUCUCAGUCCGGAUUGGAGUCUGCAACUCGACUCCAUGAAGUUGGAAUCGCUAGUAAUCGUGGAUCAGCAUGCCACGGUGAAUACGUUCCCGGGCCUU
rnacentral:rRNA from 1 species